ensembl:lncRNA
CGAAACACAGGAAUUACACCACGAUUAUGCACCCUGUGAAAAACCUGAGUGGCAAACCGUGCGUCCACAGAGUGCCAGGGAAGGUUCCUCAGCUGGCCGGAAGGACGAUUAUGUUAUGCAAGGAGGGCAACAAGUACUGCAGAAGAAAUAACUGAACGAAGCGCACGAGGGUAUGAAAAUGGAAAUCACUGCUUCGAACCGCUCCAAAGUGCAAAUGUUGUACAGCAGUUUGCAUUGGUGAAAGCCAGGGAAACCGGCCAUGAGAAAUGACAUCUGACACCAAUCGCUUCGAAGGUGGACGGCUGCUGAUGGGAAGACAGCAAGCACUGAAUAACAAGUAAAGAAGAAGCAGUGAACUCAGUAGAGAGGAACUGGAAGAAAACCAUGACUCUGACGUACAGUUUCUUACGCAGCCAAAAAUCAAGUCAGAGAUUUUAUUGAUGUCUGCAUAAGAGACGUCAAGUCAUGGUCCGAAGCAGUGAUUGAGCACCUGGUGGAAGGCAGGGCCAACCCAGGGCCAACCCAGGUGAACGCAAUGCGGCCAAUUAGAAGGGGUGGAGCCAGGAUCCACCCCUUCCCAGACCUCAUUUAAGGGCCAGCAGGGGGAGGAGAAAGACUGUCUUCUAGAGCUCUCUGCACCCCUUGAGGAUUUUACAGGUCUUGUAAAGGUAAGGAGUUUCUUUCUUUUCUGCAUCCGCUGCUGCACCUCACUUCUCUGUUGUAGCCACUGCACUGUUGCCCCCAGCUAUCAAGCAUUGUAUAGUCCAACGGUGCUCACCCGUGCCCGGCAGAAGUCCUCUUACGGAUGUAAGUGUAAGAUGUGGAUGCAAAUUACAGCACAGCUAUGUGGAAAAGUUUUCACAAGUACGUAAUAAUGCGUGCAUACUUAGAUAUAGCCAUGCGACAAAGUCUAUAGCUAGCAGCGGUGACUAUGUUGAAAAGCAGAGCAAGUUCUCAGCCACAAAACACUAUCAAAUAGUGUUCUUGUGCUCUUUUUAUUCACUGUAGUUUCUGCAGAAAUAAAGAGGAGGCAUUGCUUCCAGGGUAAUCCAUGUAACUAUAGGGGAAGAUGGAAGUCAACAGAGUCAUGGAGUGAGAUGUUACUCAUCGCAGCUAUUGUAAAGGAUUUCUCCAGAGGCUAUAAUUUCCUUGAUGAACUUACUCAUUGUAUCUCAUUUUAUACACAGUCAAACUGGUAUGUUAUUCCACAGAUACCUGUACUCCCAUGGUUUGCAUUAGGUCCUGACUAGACUAGCCGUCCUCCAGGGGCAGCAUGUUCCUGUGGGGGACUCUCAGCGCUCUGUAAUGCUGUGCUUAGGGCUAUCAGCUUCUCCAAGAGAGAGAGCUUCUCUCUGAGGAUGCUG